AUUCCCUACGGGAGGCAGCAGUAGGGAAUAUUGCUCAAUGGGGGAAACCCUGAAGCAGCAACGCCGCGUGGAGGAUGAAGGUUUUCGGAUUGUAAACUUCUGUUCUUAGUGAAGAAGAAUGACGGUAGCUAAGGAGCAAGCCACGGCUAACUACGUGCCAGCAGCCGCGGUAAUACGUAGGUGGCGAGCGUUAUCCGGAAUGAUUGGGCGUAAAGGGUGCGCAGGCGGCGCAUUAAGUUUGAAGUAAAAGGUAGCGGCUCAACCGCUGCAAGCUUCGAAAACUGGUGUGCUGGAGUGCAGGAGAG
rnacentral:rRNA from 1 species